CCUACGGGAGGCAGCAGUGAGGAAUAUUGGUCAAUGGACGAGAGUCUGAACCAGCCAAGUAGCGUGAAGGAUGACUGCACUAUGGGUUGUAAACUUCUUUUAUAUGGGAAUAAAACAUGGUAUGCAUACCCUCUUGUGUGUACCAGAUGAAUAAGGAUCGGCUAACUCCGUGCCAGCAGCCGCGGUAAUACGGAGGAUCCGAGCGUUAUCCGGAUUUAUUGGGUUUAAAGGGAGCGUAGGUGGAUUGUUAAGUCAGUUGUGAAAGUUUGCGGCUCAACCGCAAAAUUGCAGUUGAAACUGGCAGUCUUGAGUAGAGUAGAGGUAUGCGGAAUUCGUGGUGUAGCGGUGAAAUGCAUAGAUAUCGCGAAGAACUCCGAUUGCGAAGGCAGCACACUGGA
rnacentral:rRNA from 1 species